rnacentral:rRNA from 1 species
UCCCGAGAGACCGAUAGUGAACCAGUACUGUGAAGGAAAGGUGAAAAGCACUUCGAACAGAAGAGUGAAAUAGUACCUGAAACCGUGCGCCUACAAGCGGUUGGAGCUCCUUAAGGAGUGACAGCGUGCCUUUUGCAUAAUGAACCUACGAGUUACCGUGUCCGGCAAGGUUAAGGGACAGGAGUCCCGGAACCGAAGCGAAAGCGAGUCUGAACAGGGCGAGUUUCCCCUCAGGGGAAAGCGCAAUUAAUUGCGCUCAAGUCGGCUGCGGUAGACGCGAAACCAAGUGAUCUACCCUUGGCCAGGAUGAAGGUUAGGUAACACUAACUGGAGGUCCGCACCAAUAAGCGUUGAAAAGCUUCUGG